rnacentral:rRNA from 1 species
ACGCUGGCGGCAGGCCUAACACAUGCAAGUCGAGCGGUAGAGAGAAGCUUGCUUCUCUUGAGAGCGGCGGACGGGUGAGUAAUGCCUAGGAAUCUGCCUGGUAGUGGGGGAUAACGUUCGGAAACGGACGCUAAUACCGCAUACGUCCUACGGGAGAAAGCAGGGGACCUUCGGGCCUUGCGCUAUCAGAUGAGCCUAGGUCGGAUUAGCUAGUUGGUGAGGUAAUGGCUCACCAAGGCGACGAUCCGUAACUGGUCUGAGAGGAUGAUCAGUCACACUGGAACUGAGACACGGUCCAGACUCCUACGGGAGGCAGCAGUGGGGAAUAUUGGACAAUGGGCGAAAGCCUGAUCCAGCCAUGCCGCGUGUGUGAAGAAGGUCUUCGGAUUGUAAAGCACUUUAAGUUGGGAGGAAGGGCAUUAACCUAAUACGUUAGUGUUUUGACGUUACCGACAGAAUAAGCACCGGCUAACUCUGUGCCAGCAGCCGCGGUAAUACAGAGGGUGCAAGCGUUAAUCGGAAUUACUGGGCGUAAAGCGCGCGUAGGUGGUUUGUUAAGUUGGAUGUGAAAUCCCCGGGCUCAACCUGGGAACUGCAUUCAAAACUGACUGACUAGAGUAUGGUAGAGGGUGGUGGAAUUUCCUGUGUAGCGGUGAAAUGCGUAGAUAUAGGAAGGAACACCAGUGGCGAAGGCGACCACCUGGACUAAUACUGACACUGAGGUGCGAAAGCGUGGGGGAGCAAAC